GCAGUGAACUUUAAACAACAACAAAAAAAUGAAUCUGCCUUUGUUUCACUCUGGCUCUGGGCUUGUGGGGAAACUCCAUGAGCAGAAGCUUGUGUGGCCCUCACCCCGUCAGAUGAGAGCUCACCACAGGGAUGAAGCUGAGGUUCCCGGAGGCCAGAUUCUCGGUCGUGUACACUGACAGACAAGCCUUCCCACCACUAAGAAAAGCCUCAGCCGCCUCACUGCCUCAGAUGCCUCUGAAUCCAGGACACAUGGCCAAGGACACUGCCCUCGCAGGCACAGAGGGCCUGCCUCAGCCAGCUUCUGUGUUGGCCUUGGGUGCUAGACUGUUCUGAGUCCUCCGCCGCCGCCCUCAGGCUCCUCUUUUGUUUCAGUCCGACUUCUCCCGGGUCCCAGUGAUCAGGCCUUACAGAGAGGGAAGAGCGUUAGAUUCACUCAAGGUGGGGUGGGGGGAGACUUUGCAAUUAAAUUGCUAAUUAAGGAACUACCAACCUGAAGAAGCUAAUUUGCACUGACCUAUUUAAAAUAUCUAGCAGCAGAUCAGGCAGGCAUUGAGGCACAACCCUUUUAUGCGUCAGCCAACUGGCUUUCUUUCAGAGCAGCGGCUAUCAAUAAUUCCAUGCUGAGGACCAUCUGAUAGGAAAUCAACCGCUGGCCCCUGGAAUGCCAGCAUUCCCCACUGCUCUGUUUUCCCAGUUGUCAGCUCUGUUUAUAAAUUGUCCAUUUAUAGCAAAUCCAGCACCUGCUAUGAACACCUCAUCCUGCCAAGUGUUGGAGUACGUCUCAGAAAGAGGCACUAUAGACUUUUUCAGUUCCUUUUAACCUUUUCCCGGUCCGGGAGUUUGAAUAUUUGCAUAGGAAUUCUGAGGGAGGACAUACUCUGUACAGAAAAGACUAGAUGAUCUAUUAAAAGUUAGCAUUUUGCUCUACUUUAAAAAAAAAAAAAAAAGGACAGCAAAGCAUCAUUCUCUUGGGAUACACAAUGCUCUCUUUCUGAACAAGUCUGACAUUGGGACACAUUUAAAAUAACCCCUAAAAAAAUUCCUCAGGGUAAAAAUGCUCUGGAGAAAACUCAGGGAAGGCUUUCUUUUUAACUCUAUUAUGUAGCUUUUUAGCUCGCUGUCAGCACAGCCGCUUAGCAGAUAAUGCUGCCUGCUGCUUGAACC
ensembl:lncRNA